rnacentral:lncRNA from 1 species
GUAGGGGACGCGUCUGUUCGUGAAAGCAUAGGAUCGGUAUCUUCCAGUUCGGAUCCAAUAAUACUGGAUGAUAUGAGCGAAACCGGUUCAAAUAAUGAACCUGUUUCAAACGAAGAAACCAGUUCACCUAAUGAACCCGUUUCAAACGAAGAAUCCGGUUCAAACAAUGAACCCGUUUCAAACGAAGAAUCCGGUUAUAAUUGGUUGGAGUCGAACUCCACAAACUUACCCAGUGUAGAGAAUGAAAGGCACCAUAACGAAGACGAAGGUGAGAUAGUAGAAGAAGAAAAAGACAAAGACAAAGACAAAGACAAAGAAGAAGAAGAAGAAGAAAAAGACGAAAAUAAAAACAGCGAGAGAACAUCAUCUGACUCGGAAGAAAAAUCAAACCUAGAGACAUUGCUUGCGACACAAGAAAAGUACGAGCUUUACUGUCCAAGCUGUAGCUCUUGUAUCACCAGGAAAGUGAUUCUUACGAAAAAAGAACAUGGGAAGCUCGUUGAUGAAUCAAGCGACAUCGAGGAGAUUGAACCACAUGUUAAGGUGCAUACCCCUAAGAAGCUUAUAACUGAGAAUGAAGAUCAAGAAUAUAAAGAGGAGGGUUAUCUCUUCGCUUGCUUGGCCUGCCUAAAGUACUACAUCAGAUUAGGUAAAAUCAAUCUGUUUCUAAACUCUUUUUUCUUCUCAUAUUAAUCUUAAUACUUUUAGAACGUGACCCCUGUUCUUAAUACUAAAUUUCAGGAACCAGGUUCUUACAACGAGAUGAUGAGCCAGGUACGUUAUCAUGAAUUGAAAGAAACAUAUUAUUAACAAUGACACACAAUUUUUAUUUAUUUUGGGUAUAAAUGUCAUCUAAUUUUAUUGAACUGUAUAAGCAUCACACUAUCUACAAUUGUAUGCAGUUGAAGUACUUUUAGAGUCUAGGGAGAGUAGUAACACCACAGAAUCAGAAUCACCGCCUCAAAAUAAACUGGACCGUGAAAGUCUAAGAAUUUUAAUUGUAUGUGAGAUUCUAUUUUCAUUUCGUGCGACUCAUGUUACAAUCACGUUACAUGGUGAGUUUCUAAUCACAGAUGUGAGAACUAUAUUGGGUAAAUGGUAAUUCCAGUAUUUAUAACACUUUUUUUUCUUGCUAAAAAUAUUUAGAACACUUUCUACUGUCAAGAGAAUGUUUAAUCUUAUCUUUUAGCAUAAUGUACAUAUUUUCUUGAAAUUUUACAGCUAACGUAAGCUUAAAUUGAUUCGUAUUUGUACAUUUUCUACUCCUAAGUGAUAUGUAUCAACUCAUAAAAAUCCAAAAGAAGUAAUUUACGAAGAAGAUAAAAAAAGAUCCAAAAGAUGUUCGUUAUAGGAUAAUAACAAAAUAUUUAACGCCUCGUGCUUCCCUCGUGGGAAUUAUUUAUGUUAUAUACUAUAUAAGAUAAAAGAUGAUUCGAGAGGACAAAAGAAAAAGUUGCAAAAGCUGAAUUCUCCUUUUAUAUCUGUGGCAUUGGUUUCAUUACAUUGGUGGUGUGUCUAUAUGGACCGACCAGCUGACGGAAGCAAGUUUGGGGAGAGAGGUGAAAUCGUAGAUGCAGAUUUCUUGGUGGGUCUUCUCGACACCUUCAGUUUUGGCAAAUAUAAUCUUCUGGCCAUAAAAAAUGUGUUAAAUGCGCCGGCAAAGAUUACACCGGCGACGGAGCAGCAGGACAAGACCACCGAGAAGCAGGAUGAUGGAUCUCAAGGUAUUUUUAGUCAACUUGUCCUUUUCAUUUACGUUUUUCUUGUUUUUACAACGAUGGUGCUUUUAGAUAUCUUUAAUUUCCAAUUGCGUCUAGUAUUUUUUGAAUUUGCAAAAUACACCUAGUUUUUCUUAACAGGACAAAAUCCUGCAUAACCGGUAGACCAAACUUUCGUUUAUUUUGUGGUCUGAUUAGGUCUCGUAGGGGACGCGUCUGUUCGUGAAAGCAUAGGAUCGGUAUCUUCCAGUUCGGAUCCAAUAAUACUGGAUGAUAUGAGCGAAACCGGUUCAAAUAAUGAACCUGUUUCAAACGAAGAAACCAGUUCACCUAAUGAACCCGUUUCAAACGAAGAAUCCGGUUCAAACAAUGAACCCGUUUCAAACGAAGAAUCCGGUUAUAAUUGGUUGGAGUCGAACUCCACAAACUUACCCAGUGUAGAGAAUGAAAGGCACCAUAACGAAGACGAAGGUGA